rnacentral:lncRNA from 1 species
GGCUCUUCAAAGGUUCUAUGAGUUACCUGUGGCCACAUAGGAGGACCCCUCUGUCUGAAGCGAGUGCGCAGUAAAAAGAGGAUGACUCAUCUUUGGCUCUAGCUAGAUUAAAAUUCUGGACACAAAGGUUAACAUGAAUGACUUCUUUUUGGUUUAAGUGAAAAAAGAUAUUCGUUCCUGCAAAAUGUAACCUUAGCCAAGGACCUUAGAGAUGGCUUGCUCUCCUGAGCAGGGACAGGAAUUCCUGUCCUAAAGUUGGAUGACAUCUGGCUGGAACCAUAAGAUGUGUGCUGUGACAGAAACCAGAGCAGCUGGCAAUCUGGGAACUGGAACUGUCUUCGUCGAUUUUGAAUAUUUGGUCACCUUAUCUGAGAUUACCCAUAAACUCACUUUUUUUAAGUCUCUCUGAAGGCAGCUUUUAUUGUGUAAUUUAAAAAGAAUUUUUUUAUGUUUUUUAAUGAUCUGGGUUAAUUUUAAACAAGGAUUUAUGAAAUGUGAGCUGGUGCCAGGAAAACGUGGAUCAAUUGUUGCUUCCCUAGAGGAAAUAGUGGUCUUUUAAUAAUAGAUCUUAAUAAAGUGUCUAUAUUUCUUUUAGGACUUAAAAAAUAGACAAAGCAAAAUAUGGGUUAAGUAAGGUUUUGUGGUUUGCUUGAAAACUAAAUUGUACAUGGCCUGAAUAAGAAAAAAAAAAGUUCUAAUUAGACUCUUGGUUCUAGCAAGUAGAUACUCAUUUAGAUGUCCUUAAGAAAAGGUGUUAAUUAUAUGAGUAUCAUAUCACUUAGGAUUAACAUUGGCUAUAUGUGACAGACAUCCAAAACAGUGGUGGCUUAAAUUAGAUAGUACUUAUCUUUCUUGUAAAACUCCAGAGAUAGGCAGUCCGGAACUGGCCUGGCUCCACGUCAAUGGACCAGCAUACUUUUCUGCUGCAG